ACCAGUUCUGUCCUCCAGGAUUGACUAUAAGUUGCAGAGAAAAUGCAUUGGUUGAGGGAGUUUCCUCAUCUGGGAGUUCACCAUGGCAAGGAAAUAAAAGAUCCUUGCCAAUAUUGCCAAUGAUAAAUUGCAUUCUAGAAGUGGCAUGAAAAUGAUCAGAAUGAUGGGCCUGGUGAAGUAUCAAGACUGAGGAUAUAGAUGAACAGCCUAUAUGUCCCAAUGACACUUAAAUAACAUCAAGAGACAGAGUAAGGGUACUCUUAUGUCCAUAGAUUUGUUUCUUUUAAUAUCUUGAUAACUCCAUUUCAAUCUAAUUGGUUUGCUUUGUAAUCCCAUUUAUUUUAUUUUCUUCAUUUAAAAAAUUUGAGAAAAGAUCCAUAGGCUAAUUUACCAAAUUAAAAAUGUGGUUCAUGACACACAAAAA